ACGGGCCAGUCUUCAGAGAUCCCAGCGUGCGAAAGUCAUGGUCACGGGCACCCUGAGUGCGCGGGGACCGCGGCCACCUGAGCGCAGGGCCUCUGCGCGCGUAACAACGCGGGACUCGGGAUCAGGGAUGCAUGGACGCCCGCCUAGGCCGGGCUACUCCACGUUUCCCUUCCGGCUCCCACCACAUCCGGCCCUAUGUGUCAACUCUAGACCGUCACCCUGCUGUCUCUGGAUGGCCUGCAGGCGCCCUGGCGAGGUCGCGGCCCGGGCAACGUCUCUCCCCACCCCUUCCCCGUCCUGUGGUUCUCAGCGUUCUCGGAGCUACUGGAAGGCCACAGAGCACUUGACUGAUUUCUGUAACUCCCUGUUAAGACACCCGAGAGACGUGCAGUUGAACUUGAUAUGAUACCGUAUUGGGGGUCAUUUCUUUCAAAUGUUGGGUCCCAGCUGGUGGUGAUUCCUACCUGAUUUCUCUGCGUGAGAUGAUCUGACCAACUGCGACUGUCAGACAGGACUUUGGUGUCAGUUCAGGAACUGCAGUGACCCCUACGUGCCCUAGAGCAACUGGUCUUGCGGAAAACAGGCUCCUAAGUAUAUUUACUAUUGACCUCCCAGGCGCACUUUCUGGAGGAGUUUCUCACUUGGCCUCUGCUUUCACUCCUGUAUUGAUGGCUCCCUGAUCCACACUCGACACGGAGAUACUUUACCCAUAUUUCUACCUACUCUCUGGUUUUCUGCUUAGAACUUUCCAUCUCAGUUCAGCACUCCCAGCACCAAAUUCUAUCUCUUGCCAGCUCCCAAUUGCAUCUGCUCUAUGGUCUCACCAUUUACGCAGCCCCCUGGUUUGCCUUCCUCAGCUGAAGCUCAAUGUCCAGGGAGGCUUUGCUUCUAAAUCCUGAUAACCUGCUUUUCUCUCCCCAUUUCUGGGAUGCCACACUGUGCUCAGCUCCUUCCUGCCCUGACCACUGACACAAUCCCUUCCCAGUCAUGAACCGCACCUCCCAGCACAAAAUCCUUUCACUGUCCACCUCAGCAUGGCCCCAGACUCUACCACCUGUUUCUCAGUCCACCGCACCCCACCCCCACCCAACACCUCUCCUCCUUCCCUCCACGAUCCUGCUGGCUGUCCUCUCACUAAUUCCAGGCUCUACCCCUUCCCCGGUGCUGCCUCCCUCUUCCCUACCUGAGUUAGGGCACUUCCUGCUCUAAAUGACAGGCAACCCAAUUCACACUCGCUUAAACAGAAAGGAAUUGAUUGACUUACGUAAAUUAAAAGCUCAGGGCACUGUCUGCUUCAGGCCCUGGAAACCAAAGCCUUCAAGGACUCUCCAUCUCCCAGCUUUGCUUCCUUCCAUGUGAGCUAUACUCUCAGGCUCCAUGCGAGACCCCAGCAGAUCCAGGCUCACAACCUCGCAGCAGCAAGGCCAGCAGAAAAACGGCUUCUCUUUGCCCACCCUUCCCGCAGGCCUGUGUCCCGACUCUGCUUGGCACGACUGGGUCACCUGUCCAUCCUGUUCUCCCAGACACUGUGAGCGCCCCCUCUCUGCUACCUUCUCAUCCUCCACAGGGAACCAGUGCCUGCUCCUGGAUCCCUUCUCUGUCACAGUGGGACUGAAGGUGACACGGGACACCAUGGCUAACCAUUUCCCCACAAAGUAUACCACAAUACGCUUCACCUAGCUGCAGCCCUCCUGUGUUGGCACGGGGUGUUUUGUUCCAAACAAGAAGUGGGGCACAGGCCCUCUCUCUUUACAGCUUCCUCCUCAGCCUAUCUGGGAUUUCUGUCUUUGUAUCAUACCCCCUCCGUAAGUCAAGACUUGGUACGGAGAUGGCCGCAGGCCCCUCAGGGAACCAGACGUCAUAUUCUUCCUAGACUCACUCUCUCAAUCUCUUUCCUCACUUUCCCUAUUCUCUGAUGGCUUAAUCCCCCCUUCCGUUCUGAAGGAGGUGUCCUCUCCCUCCUCCCUGUGGAUUUUGGGUUCGGAGCGGUACCCACCCUUCCCUGCCCCUGGGGCAGUAACACUUCUUGGCUGAAACUUAAAGGAGGAAGGGGCUACAGGAAAGAAAAAGAUUUCCACAGGGAAAAUAUAUAUUGGGCAGCAUCUCAAAACCGUUCCCCCCAUUAAACCUCUUUCCUCUGUUGUUGUUGAGGUAAGAUGGGGCCUGAAGCAGCUGGUGGCCUUCUGACCAGCACCAGGGGAUGCCAAGCCAGAGCCGACACAGGAAAACAGAGUCCAGAGACAGGCAGCUUCCUGUUGCUCCUAAAACUAGGACCUGGAUUUUUCAAAUGCAUUAUUAACUUGGCUAGCAACAAGACCUCAUAAAUGCAAAGUGCCCAUUCAAGAACACCGCUUCCAGCACAGAAUAAAUAAGAUACAACUCAUUAAUUCCAGAGAUCCUGGCGUAUAAAGAAUGAGCUCUGUGAAUGGUGAUCUUUGGGUUGUAGAUUCUUGAAGGGCCUGGGUUGUGUGUGGGUCACUUCCCUUGAGUGAAUCCUCAAAACCUGGGGCAGCCCACACAGGCUAGCAGACCAGGCCGGUGACAAAGUAUCAGAAGGAAGUUGGGGGGAGAAAAACAAGUAGAUUUCACAGAAGUUCUACAUUGUGCAAGAGAGGAACUGCAAGAAUAUUGACUCUUACAGCUCUCCUGCCCAGUGCCAUCAUUUAACAUUGGAUUUAGUAAUAUUUGGCAUUUAUUGUGCAAGUAAUGUGGUAGAUAGACCCUAAAACGUCCCCCAGUGAUGCCCACCGCCUGAGAUUCACACCCUUGUGUCACCCCCUCACCUUGAGUGAUGGCAGGACCUGUGACUUGCUUCUAAACAAUAGAAUAGGGCAAAGGGGAUGAGAUGACACUUCUGCGAUUAUGUUACCUAAGAUGUAACUUCUGUCUUGUUAGCUGACUCUCUCCCUCACUGGCUUUGAUGAAGCAAGAUGCCAUAUAGUGAACUACACUAUGGAGAGACCCCCCUCUGGCAAGCAACUGAGGGCAGACUCUGACCAACAUCCGGAAAGGAACUGAGGCCCUCAUUCCAACAACCCGGAAGGAACUGAAUCCAGCCAACAACCACGUGAGCUUGGAAGUAGAUCCUUUCCCAAUCAUGCCUUCAAAUGAGACUCCAGCCCUGGCCAACCCCUUGACUGCAGCCUCAUGAGAUAUCCUGGAGCAGAAGACUCAGCUAAGCCAUGCCUGGAUUCUUGACCCACACAAACACAGAGAUAAUAAAUACGUGUUGUUUUAAGCC